CCUACGGGAGGCAGCAGUGAGGAAUAUUGGACAAUGGGCGGGAGCCUGAUCCAGCCAUGCCGCGUGCAGGAUGACGGCCCUAUGGGUUGUAAACUGCUUUUGUACGGGAAGAAACCUGUCCACGUGUGGACAGCUGACGGUACCGUAAGAAUAAGGACCGGCUAACUCCGUGCCAGCAGCCGCGGUAAUACGGAGGGUCCGAGCGUUAUCCGGAAUCAUUGGGUUUAAAGGGUCCGUAGGCGGGCCUAUAAGUCAGGGGUGAAAGGCCACGGCUCAACCGUGGGACUGCCCUUGAUACUGUAGGUCUUGAGUUAUGGUGGAGUUGCCGGAACAUGUGGUGUAGCGGUGAAAUGCAUAGAUAUCACAUAGAACACCGAUCGCGAAGGCAGGUGACUAACCAUAUACUGACGCUGAUGGACGAAAGCGUGGGGAGCGAACGG
rnacentral:rRNA from 1 species